AGCAGUGRAGGAUAUGGUCAUAGCUAACGGCUGACAGCACUGAGGAUGUAUAGCAUAGCUGAUGCACCACAAAUAGUUGAUGCAAUAUCGACUAUGUCGAUAAAAUUCUGGGUAGAACUAUGAUGAUGACAUUGUCUGCCCAUGUGUCUUGACCAAAUUACGUGCCAGCAGUCGCGGUAAUACGUAGAAGACUAGUGUUAUUCAUCUUUAAUAGGUUAAAGGGUACCUAGACGGUAAAUCAAGCCUACUCAGGGACUAAUUUACUAGAGUUACUUAUGAGGGGGUAUUAAAGUACUGCUGGUGUAGAGAUGAAAUUCUGUCAUACCUCUUUUCGUAUGAAAAAUAAUGGCACAGGUAUAGGCGAAAGCAUCCCCUUAUGUGAUAACUGACGUUGAAGGACGAAGGCUUUGUGUCGCGAACAGGAUUAGAUACCCCAGUAGUCAAAGCAGAAAAUGAUGAAUGUCAUAGAUUAGAUUUAAGAUUUUUUAUUCUAUAAAUGAAAGUGUAAGCAUUCCACCUCAAGAGUAAUUUGGCAACAUUGGAACUGAAAUCAUUAGACCGUUUCUGAAACCAGUAGUGAAGUAUGUUGUUUAAUUUGAUGUUCCGCAAAAAACCUUACCACAACUUGAAUAUUUAUAUAGCUUUUCUCUUUUUGAUCUUUUUUAUAUUUAGUUAAAUAGAUAAAGGAGGGAAAAGGAUAUAUUUACAAGCGUUGCACGGCUGUCUUUAGUUAAUGUCGCGAGACUAUGGUUAGUUCCAUYAAAUUAACGUAAACCCUUACUUUAUUUUUUAUAUAAAGUUGUUCCCCGCUAUAUUGGAUAUGAUAACAGGACUAAGACAAGUCAUCAUGGCCUAAAUGUUGUGGCUAUAGACGUGCCACAUAAACCUUACAAAGA
rnacentral:rRNA from 1 species